rnacentral:rRNA from 2 species
AUGUUAAUCAGGGUAGGGUAAGUCGACCCCUAAGGCGAGGCCGAAAGGCGUAGUCGAUGGGAAACAGAUUAAUAUUUCUGUACUCGAUAUAAUUGCGAUGGGGGGACGGAGCAGGCUAAGCAAGCAUAGCGUUGGUAGUCUAUGUGAAAGUGAGUAGGGCGUUUGUUUAGGUAAAUCCGGACAAACACUAAACCUGAGACACGAGACGAGUCACUACGGUGAUGAAGUUGUUGAUGCCAUACUUCCAGGAAAAGCCUCUAAGCUUCAGAUUAUAUGGAAUCGUACCCCAAACCGACACAGGUGGUCAGGUAGAGAAUACUAAGGCGCUUGAGAGAACUCGGGUG